ensembl:lncRNA
GGAGGCAGAGAGGAGUGUGCACAACCUGAACAUAGACACCGAUGGUAUUACCUCUCUUUCUCCUGCCUCCUCCUCUCCCUCAUUUCUCUCGUCCUUGUGGCAGGGAUUGACAGGGUGGCUGAGGAGGCUGCCCAAGAUGCUGAGGAUGGAGUCUCUGCUGGGGGCUUUCGUUGGCCUGUUUGUAGGUGGGCCCGUUGGGCGGAUGCUGGGGGCCACUGUGGGCUCAGUAGCAACUGAAGUGGGGAGAAGGAAGACCCUGAAGACAGAAAAAAACAAAUAAUUGCAAUGGGAUACAUAUCUCCAGUUAUUAACAUUAAAGGGACAUUUCACAAUUUUAGUUUCCCUUUGUUAUUUCACUGCACUUAUAUUUUAUUGUGCAAUUGGCUUGUAUUUGACCAACCUACAGUCCUCACAAUACUUCUUAUAAUAUUUGUUGUUUCACUGCUGGCAUGCCUAUUUUGACUGGUCAUAUUUUCAAAACCAAUUAUUAUAGAAGGUAUGGUAGGGUUAACUAAAAACGUCAAAUAAAGGGGAACAUACAUACAUGAUCCACUUGGUGGAGACGUUGACCAACACAUUGAAGUUGAACAUUAAAUAUUUGAGCUCAACUGAAAACAGACCUUACUGCUGAAGGAAAUAUAAUGCCAUUUCUAAGGCAGUUUGUUGUGUCCUGUUUAUGUCACACAGUUGAUACUUUUAAAGCAUACAAUUACACAUUUCCCUCAGACUGAAUUUAGUCAUUUAUUGGCCAACAUUUUCAAGCACUAUAUUUAGUAGUUGAGUAUAGGCUACAUCUCGAAAAUAAGACUUUCACAUGAUGCAUGAGAGAUAACGGAGGCCUCCGUUAUAGACGGACCAUCUGCAGCAGUGUGUGUUAGCUGAGGACAAUUGCUGGAGCGUAUAGAGGGCGUUAAUAAUAGUGGUGAGGAGUCCUAAGUGAAAGUGCCUCUGACUUUGGAAAACACUGAAGCACUGCUCUCAAAGCUUCCUCUUUUUUCUUUAUGCAAAACGGUAGGUUACGGGUUUGACAUUGAUGUAAUUGAUACUCUGUUAAAACCAUCAGUCAAACCCAUCUUUACAUCUCUCUCUUUAAGUUUCUCUCCCUCUCUCUCUAAGCUGACAGAGACCCUGCCUGUGGAACAGCUAGGCGUUUCCGAAUGUGGGUGGUCCGCCGGGGGAGGGAGGGAGAGAAUUAGUCCAGCUCUCAUGUUUCCUGAGAAGAGAGGGAGGAAAGGAAUGAGAAAGAGAGUAGGGAGAGAGCAAGAAAGAGGAGAGUGAAUAUGUGUGUGCGAGAGAGAGAGAACAUGCUCAGGGAUUACAUCUGUCUUCCAGAUGUGGCCUCCACAGUUGUCUGAAACAGGAAAAAAAAGAAAGUUUAAAAGUAAAGGAAAAUUGGUGCUAAACAGUUUUUUAUUGUUAAGGAUUACGCAUACAGUACAGUGCGGACUACAGUAUGGCGGUCUACAGUGAACCAGGGUAUGAUGCCAGUUCAUUCCUUAUGAAACUGCAAUGAAAUGACGUGGUGCACCCGUCCAGUAGACCCCUUAAAGAUAAUGCAUACAAAAAAGAACACCUGUCCAAAUAUUGUUCUGUCUUAUUGGAUAAGCAUCAGUGAGAGGACAGUGAGUAAUGAUAGAGGGAGAUAAGA